GCUAGUAGGUGAGGUAAGAGCUCACCUAGGCGACGAUGUGUAGCCGGUCUGAGAGGAUGAACGGCCACAAUGGAACUGAGACACGGUCCAUACUCCUACGGGAGGCAGCAGUGGGGAAUAUUGCACAAUGGGGGAAACCCUGAUGCAGCAACGCCGCGUGAGUGAAGAAGGUUUUCGGAUUGUAAAGCUCUGUUAGCAGGGAAGAGGAAGGACGGUACCUGCAGAGGAAGCCACGGCUAACUACGUGCCAGCAGCCGCGGUAAUACGUAGGUGGCAAGCGUUGUUCGGAAUAACUGGGCGUAAAGGAUGCGUAGGCGGUUGAGUAAGUUAUGUGUUAAAUAUAUAGGCUUAACCUGUAGAAAGCACAUAAAACUGUUUAACUAGAGUGCAGGAGAGGUAAGUGGAAUUCCUAGUGUAGCGGUGAAAUGCGUAGAGAUUAGGAAGAACGCCAGUGGCGAAGGCGACUUACUGGACUGUAACUGACGCUGAGGCAUGAGAGCAUGGGGAGCAAACAGGAUUAGAUACCCUGGUAGUCCAUGCUGUAAACGAUGGGUACUAGGUGUGGGUUGUGAAUAACAAUCCGUG
rnacentral:rRNA from 1 species